rnacentral:rRNA from 1 species
UACGAAGGGGGCGAGCGUUGUCCGGAAUCACUGGGCGUAAAGCGCAUGUAGGUGGCUUGAUCAGUGGACGAUUAAAUACCGAUGCUUAACAUCGGAACUGUUGUCCAUACUGUCUGGCUUGAGAAUGACAGGGGUAAGCGGAACUUUAGGUGUAGGAGUGAAAUCCGUAGAUAUCUAAAGGAACACCAAUGGCGAAGGCAGCUUACUGGGUCUUUUCUGACACUGAGAUGCGAAAGCGUGGGAGCGAACGGG